CUUUAACUCUUCAUCCUUUUGGG
rnacentral:miRNA from 1 species